rnacentral:rRNA from 1 species
GGCACGCGUAUGCAACCUACCAUAUACAGGGGGAUAAUCACUCGAAAGGGUGUCUAAUACCCCAUAGUAUUAAAUAACUGCAUGGUUAUUUAAUUAAAGAUUUAUUGGUAUAUGAUGGGCAUGCGUGACAUUAGCUAGUUGGAGAGGUAACGGCUCACCAAGGCAACGAUGUCUAGGGGUUCUGAGAGGAAGAUCCCCCACACUGGUACUGAGACACGGACCAGACUCCUACGGAAGGCAGCAGUGAGGAAUAUUGGUCAAUGGGCGAGAGCCUGAACCAGCCAUGCCGCGUGAAGGAAGACGGCCCUACGGGUUGUAAACUUCUUUUAUAUGGGGAUAAACCUACUCUUGCGAGAGUAGCUGAAGGUACCAUAUGAAUAAGCAUCGGCUAACUCCGUGCCAGCAGCCGCGGUAAUACGGAGGAUGCGAGCGUUAUCCGGAUUCAUUGGGUUUAAAGGGUGCGUAGGCGGUUUUUUAAGUCAGUGGUGAAAUCACUCAGCUCAACUGAGUAACUGCCAUUGAAACUGAGAGACUAGAAUGCAAAUGGAGUAGGCGGAAUGAAUCAUGUAGAGGUGACAUUCAUAGAUAUGAUUCAGAACACCGAUCGCGAAGGCAGCUUGCUAAGAUGCAAUUGACGCUGAGGCACGAA